rnacentral:rRNA from 1 species
UACGGGGGGAGCAAGCGUUGUUCGGAUUUACUGGGUUUAAAGGGUGCGUAGGUGGGUCUGUAAGUCAGUGGUGAAAUCUCCGGGCUUAACCCGGAAACUGCCAUUGAUACUAUAGAUCUUGAAUAUCCUGGAGGUGAGCGGAAUAUGUCAUGUAGCGGUGAAAUGCUUAGAUAUGACAUAGAACACCAAUUGCGAAGGCAGCUCACUACGGGAUCAUUGACACUGAGGCACGAAAGCGUGGGGAGCGAACAGG